rnacentral:rRNA from 1 species
ACGGAAGGCAGCAGUGGGGAAUAUUGCACAAUGGGGGAAACCCUGAUGCAGCGACGCCGCGUGAGUGAAGAAGUAUUUCGGUAUGUAAAGCUCUAUCAGCAGGGAAGAAAAUGACGGUACCUGACUAAGAAGCCCCGGCUAACUACGUGCCAGCAGCCGCGGUAAUACGUAGGGGGCAAGCGUUAUCCGGAUUUACUGGGUGUAAAGGGAGCGUAGACGGCUGUGUAAGUCUGAAGUGAAAGCCCCGGGCUCAACUCGGGAACUGCUUUGGAAACUAUAUAGCUAGAGUGCAGGAGAGGUAAGUGGAAUUCCUAGUGUAGCGGUGAAAUGCGUAGAUAUUAGGAGGAACACCAGUGGCGAAGGCGGCUUACUGGACUGUAACUGACGUUGAGGCUCGAAAGCGUGGGGAGCAAACAGGAUUAGAUACCCUGGUA